ACAAAAAAAAAAUAGAAAAAUUUCACGUUGUUAAUGCCAAUUAAUUGCACAUCCAAUCACUAUUCAGAAAGCUGCUAUAUUUAAUUAUUAAUGAAGCAGCAGCCAACUUGAAGAUCUCCUUACAUGGGUACGUACUAAUAAUAACCAUCAACAUAACAGCAAACAAAUCCCACAACGAAGCGGCAUCAAUUAAACACAAACUAUGAAAUGAAAACUCGUCCUUCGCUUCUUGGAUAACAUGAUAUGUAAAGUCAAAGAGACAAUCUAAAUAUAUCAAUGUUAUCCAAGAUCCAUUCAAGCAUAUGCUAAAAGCUCUUCUAAACCUCCACAAGGAAUUCCUUAUCCUUCUCCAACCUCUCCAUGGCUCCAGCUUCCAAAGUGAUCUCCACAUCAAUGCUUCUUCCUCCACUCUUUCCUUGAUACAAAUACACCAUCCCAUCAAAUCUAUUGUUGGAUCCACUCCUAACGCUUUCUGGUUUGCCCCACCCGAAAUCCACCUCAUAUACCUGAAACCUAGGCGAGCUUCCCACGGCCACGCAGUUCACCCCAGCAUCCUUAAAUUGGAAUAUCUUCGGUGCACUCUCCCAUUCUUUGUUGCGCUCGUCGAUGGCUUUCGCGUUGUGGGCUUCAAUAGCCUUUUGAAUCACAGACGCCCCGAAAUCCGGUGGGUUCAUCGUUAAUAAUCCUACUGCUGUUGCCGUGAAUAUGGCCUGGAUUAGGUUACCGAAGUAACUAUCUGGCAUCGGCGGGUCGACCCUUUUCCUGCAAUCGGCAAAGACGGUGAACACUGUGUAGUGUUCGGGUUUGAGUUCACGCGCAUGGCAUACUUGACGCCAAAUAUGGGCUGCGAGUGAUUGAAAGGUGGAGAAUGGCUUUGAACCGUCGGAUGGAGGGUUUGCGUUAGCUUUUGACUUAAUUUUGUCGAUAGCAGCUUCGGAGAAUUUGAAGACCUUCUCUAUGAGUUGAGGUGCGGACUUGGCAUCUUCAUUGCAUGCACUGAGUGGGUCCGGUGGCAGGGAGAGGUCGAGCUUGACGCGAGUGUUGCGUGCUUUGGUGCGUUCAAAGAAGGGUGGGACCGAGACUGAAGAGGACCCAUUGCAGAUCUGGGCCCAUGAAUUCAUGAAGUGCCACGUGGAAGUCCCAUCUAAGAUAGCGUGGUUAAACGCGCACCCCAUUGCCAGUCCGUCUUUUAGCUUGGUUAGCUGCACUGACAACAAAGGCCUGUGAAGGCCUUCCAAAUUCAGGAUGCCAUUGUAGGGGAUCAAGUCCUUCAGGGUGGUGGUGCCUUGCUCAGUCGUAAGAUCAUCCACACUGAUCCCGUUAGCAAUGGCCUCUACCACCUCCACGCCUUCCAUGUCAUCGUCAUACUCAACCCUGAACACUCCAUCUUCAUCUUUUCCAAGCUUCCCAGCCAUUUGAUGGAAAUCUUCCAAAACUAGCGCAAGCCCAUCUUUCAGUUUCCCCACCAUGUCUUCAAAGUCGUGAUCACUGCUGCCUUUGUACAACAAAAACUUCUGAUUGUAGUAAAAGGCCAGAUAUGGAAGAUCGAAGGUCACCAAUUGGCAUUCUCUUCUUCCCAAUUUCUUAUUGGGCUUCACACGGGUCUUGCCUGUGAAUUUCACCUUCAUGGUUUCUUCCUUCUUCUCUAUUUGACAGGCCAUGGAUGAAGGGUGAAGAUAAGAUACACAAGACUAAAGUCACUAGUGGAGUUACCAAACAAGACUUAUGGGGAGUUAUAGGGGGAGUUCAUUUGACGUUGGUUGAGAGGCAUUUAUGGUGUCCAUGAGAGCGGUUGUGAGCCAUUAAUAAACCUGCUUCGGACUGUUGGCGAAGCCGUGAAGUUAGUAGUUGAGUGAAAAUUAAAGGUCCCCUCUCUCUCUUAUUACUGAAAACGCUAGCUAGUGUGGUCUGCUGGCUAAAGUAAAUGCUAGCAUUGAUAACCUAACAUUUGUAUCAUCUAUUAUCUCAAGAUGUGAAAUAAGUAAUCUCCUCGUCUUGGGUUGAAAAAAGUACUAGGAGAAAAUUUUAACUGAAUAAGUUAAAUCUACCAUUAG
rnacentral:misc_RNA from 1 species